rnacentral:misc_RNA from 1 species
GGGUUGYGUCUCGAUCGUCCGGUCGCUCCUCCUUUCGGAGGUGGCGUCGGUUGGUCGGACMWUAUCUCGGRCRGUGUUGGGACGACGCAUUAGCAGGCUCCCUGCUUCUCGCAGCGAACUGCAUUGGUCCGUCCCUUUCAUUUGAUCGCUCGCCUCGAAUCCCCUAGGGUCGGUCGCGAGUGAUGGGUGGGUUCCUGUGCUUGAUACCGGAUUUCGGUACUCGGAUUCAAUGUUGUCCACGUCUUGGUUUCCCUUGUUCCUCCUCCGCCUCCUGUGCGUUGGUGGUUGUCGCGCGGGCAUCGAUGCUUUCCGUCCGGGCGGUCGUCCACCUCUGGGCGCUUCCGCUCGAGUCGGCGCGUCGAUGCCGUCCGCGUGCUCUUGGGUACGGAGAUAUCUCUUGUUAUCGCGCGGCCCUCUUUCGGCCGUUGCGAUCACGACGUGUCGAAGCUUCUUUGCUUCCGCUCGGGUGACCCUCGUGCUUUCCUUGGCCCUCACGGAGACUCUCCUCUCCGCGUUCGUCCUCGGGAGGCAUCGAGGUGUACAAUGGAAUGCUACCUGGUUGAUCCUGCCAGUAGUCAUCUUUCCUUGGSACUYACGGASACUCUYCUCUCYSCSKUCSUCCUCKGGAGGCAUCGAGGUGUACAAUGGAA